rnacentral:rRNA from 1 species
UACGUAGGGGGCUAGCGUUGUCCGGAUUUAUUGGGCGUAAAGAGCGUGUAGGCGGCCAGGUAGGUCUGCUGUGAAAACUCGAGGCUCAACCUCGAGACGUCGGCGGAAACCAUCUGGCUAGAGUCCGGAAGAGGAGAGUGGAAUUCCUGGUGUAGCGGUGAAAUGCGCAGAUAUCAGGAAGAACACCGGUGGCGAAGGCGGCAUCCUGGACCGGUAUUGACGCUGAGGCGCGAAAGCCAGGGGAGCAAACAGG